GACGAACGCUGGCGGCGUGCUUAACACAUGCAAGUCGAACGGAAAGGCCCUGCUUUUGUGGGGUGCUCGAGUGGCGAACGGGUGAGUAACACGUGAGUAACCUGCCCUUGACUUUGGGAUAACUUCAGGGAACUGGGGCUAAUACCGGAUAUGAGCUCCUGCUGCAUGGUGGGGGUUGGAAAGUUUCGGCGGUUGGGGAUGGACUCGCGGCUUAUCAGCUUGUUGGUGGGGUAGUGGCUUACCAAGGCUUUGACGGGUAGCCGGCCUGAGAGGGUGACCGGCCACAUUGGGACUGAGAUACGGCCCAGACUCCUACGGGAGGCAGCAGUGGGGAAUAUUGCACAAUGGGCGGAAGCCUGAUGCAGCAACGCCGCGUGCGGGAUGACGGCCUUCGGGUUGUAAACCGCUUUCGCCUGUGACGAAGCGUGAGUGACGGUAAUGGGUAAAGAAGCACCGGCUAACUACGUG
rnacentral:rRNA from 1 species